rnacentral:misc_RNA from 1 species
GCAUCAUAGACCACCCAAAGCGCAGAAGAAGAAGCACUUGUUUCGGUCUCUAGCUGCAACCAAGUUCUUCCAAACAACAGAACUCGAUUGGGCAGAAGCGGGCUUACAAGUUUGUAAGCAGGGGUAUAACAUGCUGAACCUGUUGAUCCACAGGAAAAAUUUAAAUUACCUCCAUCUUGAUUAUAAUUUUAACUUGAAGCCUGUGAAAACCCUUACUACAAAG